GACGAACGCUGGCGGCGUGCUUAACACAUGCAAGUCGAACGGUGAAGCGAGUGCUUUCUCUCGUGGAUCAGUGGCGAACGGGUGAGUAACACGUGAGUAACCUGCCCAUCACUCUGGGAUAAGCUCUGGAAACGGUGUCUAAUACUGGAUACGACCACCCCUUGCAUGGUGUGUUGGUGGAAGGAUUUAUCGGUGAUGGAUGGACUCGCGGCCUAUCAGCUUGUUGGCGGGGUAAUGGUCCACCAAGGCGACGACGGGUAGCCGGCCUGAGAGGGUGACCGGCCACACUGGGACUGAGACACGGCCCAGACUCCUACGGGAGGCAGCAGUGGGGAAUAUUGCACAAUGGGCGAAAGCCUGAUGCAGCGACGCCGCGUGAGGGAUGACGGCCGUCGGGUUGUAAACCGCUUUCACCAGGGAAGAAGCGAGAGUGACGGUACCUGGAGAAGAAGCACCGGCUAACUACGUG
rnacentral:rRNA from 1 species